CGUCUCUUUUGUCUUCAAGCUUCCGCUCACCCCUUGCGAAGCGCAGCGCAUGUGGUCCAUAUGCCGUCAGCUCUAACGAGUAUGAGGGGGAAGAUCUAUCUUCAAUCGAGGAACUCCCGGAUGAAUGCCUCUUUGAGAUCUUUAGACGGCUUCCUAGCUGUAGAGAAAGGAGCUUCUGUGCCUGUGUUAAGAUCUUCGAGCUGUUGAGCCUUGGUGCGAGGUUUGUACUGGACUUCAAUCCCGUCUUCAGGAAUACAAAUCGGAAAACCAACAGCUCGAGGAACUUCUUACUUCGGAGAGAGAGCUCAGUAAAUCAUAUGAGGCUCACAUAAAGCAGCUCCAGCAAGAUUUAUCUGCAGCUAAGAAUGAAGCCAUAAGAGUAGAGUCAAGUAUGGCCAAAGCCCUUACGGCAAAAAAUUAUGAAAUUGAAGCACUUCUCAAGUCAGUAGAUUCCCUGAAGACACAACUGGCUUUAUCUGAAGGAAAUCUGGCUUCACAGUAGGUUCAAGACAUCUUUAGCAAUUACAUACACAUGAAUUUUGCACAAUGUGAAAUGAUCGGCUUGCAAUCUCUCAUUUUUUUGCAAAAUUUUAGCAAUCAUCAGUAAAGUUUAAUAUGUGGUGAAGGAGUAUUAUGGGUCUGCUGUGGUCAUUCUUUUUUUGCUGAAAUGUUGUUUGGAGUGCAACAUAGCUUUAUAUUUUUCUUUGCUGCUCCACAGUGUGGCUGCGAUUAUUUGCAUUAUGCGCCUUGUGUUGAUUAUGGUCCGUCAGUUUGAAUCUUAAUCUUGGUUCACUGAUGCAUCAAGUCUUUUAUACACUGGAGCAUGGCUGACUAAGCAACUGCACCAAUUAUCUUUCAGUCAUUCUCCUCUCUAAGAGGUAGGGAUUUUUUGAAUUCAA